rnacentral:rRNA from 1 species
AUUGAACGCUGGCGGCAUGCCUUACACAUGCAAGUCGAACGGCAGCACGGGAGCAAUCCUGGUGGCGAGUGGCGAACGGGUGAGUAAUAUAUCGGAACGUGCCCAGUCGUGGGGGAUAACGUAGCGAAAGCUACGCUAAUACCGCAUACGAUCUAAGGAUGAAAGCGGGGGAUCGCAAGACCUCGCGCGAUUGGAGCGGCCGAUAUCAGAUUAGCUAGUUGGUGAGGUAAAGGCUCACCAAGGCGACGAUCUGUAGCUGGUCUGAGAGGACGACCAGCCACACUGGGACUGAGACACGGCCCAGACUCCUACGGGAGGCAGCAGUGGGGAAUUUUGGACAAUGGGCGCAAGCCUGAUCCAGCAAUGCCGCGUGCAGGAUGAAGGCCUCGGUGUAAC